AUUGAACGCUGGCGGCAGGCCUAACACAUGCAAGUCGAGCGGAUGAAGGGAGCUUGCUCCUGGAUUCAGCGGCGGACGGGUGAGUAAUGCCUAGGAAUCUGCCUGGUAGUGGGGGAUAACGUCCGGAAACGGGCGCUAAUACCGCAUACGUCCUGAGGGAGAAAGUGGGGGAUCUUCGGACCUCACGCUAUCAGAUGAGCCUAGGUCGGAUUAGCUAGUUGGUGGGGUAAAGGCCUACCAAGGCGACGAUCCGUAACUGGUCUGAGAGGAUGACCAGUCACACUGGAACUGAGACACGGUCCAGACUCCUACGGAGGCAGCAGUGGGGAAUAUUGGAUAAUGGGCGAAAGCCUGAUCCAGCCAUGCCGCGUGUGUGAAGAAGGUCUUCGGAUUGUAAAGCACUUUAAGUUGGGAGGAAGGGCAGUAAGUUAAUACCUUGCUGUUUUGACGUUACCAACAGAAUAAGCACCGGCUAACUUCGUG
rnacentral:rRNA from 1 species